UGUGCAUCGUGAACUAUAACAAGUGGAA
rnacentral:piRNA from 1 species